UCGCUUAUCUCCUUUCCCGGCGGGGCGGAGCGGCUCGCACGUCUAUUUUCUACGGUAACUCUGCCUUCCAGGAGGAGAGCUUCCCCGACUCAUAUAUGCGUAAACAAGAAGACUCUGCAGACAAGCCAUCAGAAAGACUCGGGUCUGCUCUCCUUUGGCGACGUUGUACUGGGGUGGUCGGGAUCUAGCAGCGACCACGAAAGAAAACAGUACAAACUUCGCAGUUCCCGAUCGCCAGGCUAACCCCGGGACUUCGGCGAGAGCUUAGGCUCACGCCUAGGCUCACGCCUCGGAGAGAUGGAUAACGACGAUAAUUACCUUUUCUCUCCGUCGCCGGAAGCAGAGCUGCAUCAACGGCAGGAAAACCAGCGCAUUCGGGAAGUUAUCAAUAGGCCAAAGCCAAAAAAGAAAAAUGACCGGGGAGGGGACGGACGAUUUUGACAGGAACCCAGGUAACGGGAGCCAGGCCGGGCAGAGGAGGGAA